rnacentral:rRNA from 1 species
GAUGAACGCUGGCGGCGUGCUUAACACAUGCAAGUCGAACGAGGUCCAACCUUCGGGUGAAGACCUAGUGGCGAACGGGUGAGUAACACGUGGGCAAUCUGCCCUCCACUCUGGGAUAACCCCCGGAAACGGGAGCUAAUACCGGAUACUUCGUCGAGGUCGCAUGGCCAUGACGAGAAAGCUCCGGCGGUGGAGGAUGAGCCCGCGGCCCAUUAGCUUGUUGGCGGGGUAAUGGCCCACCAAGGCAACGAUGGGUAGCCGAGCUGAGAGGCUGAUCGGCCACACCGGGACUGAGACACGGCCCAGACUCCUACGGGAGGCAGCAGUGGGGAAUCUUGCGCAAUGGGCGAAAGCCUGACGCAGCAACGCCGCGUGUGGGAUGAAGGCCCUCGGGUCGUAAACCACUUUCAGCAGGACGAAACUGACUGUACCUGCAGAAGAAGCCCCGGCUAACUACGUGCCAGCAGCCGCGGUAAUACGUAGGGGGCUAGCGUUAUCCGGAUUCAUUGGGCGUAAAGAGCGCGUAGGCGGCUUGUUAAGUCAGAUGUGAAAACUGGGGGCUCAACCCGCAGCGUGCAUCUGAAACUGGCAGGCUUGAGUCUGGUAGAGGAAAGUGGAAUUCCCAGUGUAGCGGUGAAAUGCGCAGAUAUUGGGAGGAACACCAGUGGCGAAGGCGGCUUUCUGGGCCACGACUGACGCUGAGGCGCGAAAGCUAGGGGAGCAAACAGGAUUAGAUACCCUGGUAGUCCUAGCCGUAAACGAUGGGCACUAGGUGUGGGGGGUCAUCAACUCCCUCCGUGCCGCAGCUAACGCACUAAGUGCCCCGCCUGGGGAGUACGACCGCAAGGUUAA